rnacentral:rRNA from 1 species
UACGUAGGGUGCAAGCGUUAAUCGGAAUUACUGGGCGUAAAGCGUGCGCAGGCGGUUCUAUAAGACAGAUGUGAAAAUCCCCGGGCUCAACCUGGGAACUGCAUUUGUGACUGUAGAGCUGGAGUACGGCAGAGGGGGAUGGAAUUCCGCGUGUAGCAGUGAAAUGCGUAGAUAUGCGGAGGAACACCGAUGGCGAAGGCAAUCCCCUGGGCCUGCACUGACGCUCAUGCACGAAAGCGUGGGGAGCAAACAGG